UACGAAGGGAGCUAGCGUUGUUCGGAAUUACUGGGCGUAAAGGGCGCGUAGGCGGCUUGGCAAGUUGGGUGUGAAAGCCCAGGGCUCAACCCUGGAAUAGCACUCAAGACUGCCUUGCUUGAAUUCGGUAGAGGUUGGUGGAAUUCCCAGUGUAGAGGUGAAAUUCGUAGAGAUUGGGAAGAACACCCGUGGCGAAGGCGGCCAACUGGACCGACAUAGACGCUGAGGCGCGAAAGCGUGGGGAUCAAACAGG
rnacentral:rRNA from 1 species